UACGGGGGGGGCAAGCGUUGUUCGGAAUUACUGGGCGUAAAGGGCUCGUAGGCGGCCAACUAAGUCAGACGUGAAAUCCCCAGGCUCAACCUGGGAACUGCGUCUGAUACUGGAUGGCUUGAAUUCGGGAGAGGGAUGCAGAGUUCCAGGUGUAGCGGUGAAAUGCGUAGAUAUCUGGAGGAAUACCGGUGGCGAAGGCGGCAUCCUGGACCGACAUUGACGCUGAGGAGCGAAAGCUAGGGGAGCAAACGGG
rnacentral:rRNA from 1 species